rnacentral:rRNA from 1 species
GAUCAGUAGGGGUUCUGAGAGGAAGGUCCCCCACAUUGGAACUGAGACACGGUCCAAACUCCUACGGGAGGCAGCAGUGAGGAAUAUUGGUCAAUGGGCGAGAGCCUGAACCAGCCAAGUAGCGUGCAGGAUGACGGCCCUAUGGGUUGUAAACUGCUUUUAUAGGGGAAUAAAGUGAUCCACGUGUGGUUUUUUGCAUGUACCUUAUGAAUAAGGACCGGCUAAUUCCGUGCCAGCAGCCGCGGUAAUACGGAAGGUCCGGGCGUUAUCCGGAUUUAUUGGGUUUAAAGGGAGCGUAGGCCGGAGAUUAAGCGUGUUGUGAAAUGUAGAUGCUCAACAUCUGAACUGCAGCGCGAACUGGUUUCCUUGAGUACGCAUAAAGUGGGCGGAAUUCGUGGUGUAGCGGUGAAAUGCUUAGAUAUCACGAAGAACUCCGAUUGCGAAGGCAGCUCACUGGGGCGCAACUGACGCUGAAGCUCGAAAGCGCGGGUAUCGAACAGGAUUAGAUACCCUGGUAGUCCGCGCGGUAAACGAUGGAUGCCCGCUGUUGGGCCAACUGGUUCAGCGGCCAAGCGAAAGCAUUAAGCAUCCCACCUGGGGAGUAC